UGAACAUCUACCGAUAUCAAAGGGAAGUAAGCAUGAUGUGUCUCAUCUGCUGCAUUAAGUUUCCAUGGCUGACCACUGUGUCUACGAAGCUGAUUCUACAAAGUCCCUGAUUUUGUGCAAGUGUACAAAGUGUGCAAGACGUUGGUUUGAAGACAAAGUUUUACAGAAAAUGGAGCCAGUGAGAAAUUAUACAUAGGAGCUUGAGAUCUCUUCUGUACUCAACCCCUCCAGAUACCACAGCUUCUGUUCGGAGCAUGCCUGGCAGUCAGAUCAAUGUGGAUGAGGGCUCAUCAGUUGAAGCUCAAUUCUAGCAAAACUGAACUGCUGAUCUUCCCAGGUGAUUCAUCC